GUCAACAUUUCUUAUCAACAUUGUUUCGGCAACAUUUGAGUUUGCUUGGCCGCGGUGUUUCUGCAACAAAAACGGAAAAAGAACUCACUCAUUUGGUUUUUUUUUUGUAUUUUUGCGCCUGUAUUGCUUUUGCUUAGCAUUGUUUUGAUUUUUUUCAUCUAGAGUGCCGUUAUAAAAGCGCCACGCUGCACUUUUUGUUUUGCCUUUUACGCUCUUGGCGAAUUUGUUGUGUGAACAUGCGUAAAUUUGGAAGUGCACAUGCAAAACGGCAAAAAAAAAUCGACAGCGGAGAUAAAGAGGAGGAAGACAACGAAAUAAUUUGUAAGAAAA